rnacentral:rRNA from 1 species
GGCAUGGCGCAGCUACCAUGCAGUCGAGCGGUAGCACAGAGAGCUUGCUCUCGGGUGACGAGCGGCGGACGGGUGAGUAAUGUCUGGGAAACUGCCUGAUGGAGGGGGAUAACUACUGGAAACGGUAGCUAAUACCGCAUAAUGUCGCAAGACCAAAGUGGGGGACCUUCGGGCCUCAUGCCAUCAGAUGUGGCCCCCAGAGUGGGAAUAAGUUUAUAGUGGGUUAACGGCCACUAGCACGAUCCUAGCGUUCGAAGGGAUACAGCAAUGAACUGAGACCCGUCAGACCUACGGAGCAGCAGUGGGGAAUAUGCACAUGGCGCAGCUGAUGCAGCAUGCGCGUGUGGAGAGCUCGGGUGUAAAGCACUUUCAGCGGGAGAAGCGUGAAGAUAUACCUCGUCGAUUGACGUUACCCGCAGAAGAAGCACGGCUAACUCCGUGCCAGCAGCCGCGGUAAUACGGAGGGUGCAAGCGUUAAUCGGAAUUACUGGGCGUAAAGCGCACGCAGGCGGUCUGUCAAGUCGGAUGUGAAAUCCCCGGGCUCAACCUGGGAACUGCAUUCGAAACUGGCAGGCUAGAGUCUUGUAGAGGGGGGUAGAAUUCCAGGUGUAGCGGUGAAAUGCGUAGAGAUCUGGAGGAAUACCGGUGGCGAAGGCGGCCCCCUGGACAAAGACUGACGCUCAGGUGCGAAAGCGUGGGGAGCAAACAGGAUUAGAUACCCUGGUAGUCCACGCCGUAAACGAUGUCGAUUUGGAGGUUGUGCCCUUGAGGCGUGGCUUCCGGAGCUAACGCGUUAAAUCGACCGCCUGGGGAGUACGGCCGCAAGGUUAAAACUCAAAUGAAUUGACGGGGGCCCGCACAAGCGGUGGAGCAUGUGGUUUAAUUCGAUGCAACGCGAAGAACCUUACCUGGUCUUGACAUCCACAGAACUUUCCAGAGAUGGAUUGGUGCCUUCGGGAACUGUGAGACAGGUGCUGCAUGGCUGUCGUCAGCUCGUGUUGUGAAAUGUUGGGUUAAGUCCCGCAACGAGCGCAACCCUUAUCCUUUGUUGCCAGCGGUUCGGCCGGGAACUCAAAGGAGACUGCCAGUGAUAAACUGGAGGAAGGUGGGGAUGACGUCAAGUCAUCAUGGCCCUUACGACCAGGGCUACACACGUGCUACAAUGGCAUAUACAAAGAGAAGCGACCUCGCGAGAGCAAGCGGACCUCAUAAAGUAUGUCGUAGUCCGGAUUGGAGUCUGCAACUCGACUCCAUGAAGUCGGAAUCGCUAGUAAUCGUAGAUCAGAAUGCUACGGUGAAUACGUUCCCGGGCCUUGUACACACCGCCCGUCACACCAUGGGAGUGGGUUGCAAAAGAAGUAGGUAGCUUAACCUUCGGGAGGGCGCUUACCACUUUGUGAUUCAUGACUGGGGGAAGUCGAGCGGACUGCCAC